CUUGGGGACCGGAUUGUGGCCGAGGAGGAGCUUGCCCUUGUCGCCCAGCAGCUCCCGCUCCAACGGGCUCGUCCACAAGUCCGGCAGCACCAGCCGCUCUUCCCUCUUCCGGUCUAGCCCAUCGACGACGACGGCUCCUCCUCAUGCUCAUCGGACUCGUGCACAAGUGCUCUGCAAGUCUGCAUUGGGAAGCAGAUACAGUUUUUCUUGGUGGGCGUGGUUUUGGAACAGCCAUGUCUUCUCUAAUUUUGACAGUGCUUGAGUUUAGAGUAUGGUUAUACUUUUGCUUAGGCAGGGUAAUUGCUUUUCUUACUGGUGCUCCUGAUUAUGAAGAUGGUCAACUAGACACUAAGAGAUAUGGUGAGCAAUAUGCUAGCAAAGGGGAAGAUGUUGACCUCAUGUUGCUCCCUGAGCAGAU